GUGUGACGACUAUAUAAAAACCAUCUAUAAUAGUGUGUCCAGUGAUAGAAUGAAUUUGCCUUUUGUCAACUUUAUUUAGAAUUGUUAAUCAUGGAUGGUGUCGAAGAAAAGGAAAUAAUUAGCCACAUGUAGUGUUCUUCAAAAUAAGAUGUUUCCAUAAAUAGGUAGAUCCUGAAAUGUUUCUUUUCUGAGAUGCCAGAUGUUAACAUGAACUCUUGAAAAAUUUCAGGCAAAUACAUAUAUCUACAGAUACCCGCUGCACAAAUAUGAAGCUUUGACUUGAACGAUGCUGUUCUUUAAUCAAUGCUGGAAAUUGGACAAUGCCAGGGACAAAAUUUACAAUAUCACUUGUUUUUUAGUAGAUAAAAAUACUCUGGAAUUUGAGUGUUGUGAGAAAUAAGAAAUCCCCUAAAGAUUUUC